rnacentral:rRNA from 1 species
UACGGAGGGUGCGAGCGUUGUCCGGAAUUACUGGGCGUAAAGAGCGCGUAGGCGGCGCGGUACGACCGCUGUGAAAGCCCCCAGCUCAACUGGGGAGGGUCAGCGGUAACGGCCGUGCUAUGAGUGCAGGAGAGGGAAGUGGAACUCCGGGAGUAGCGGUGAAAUGCGUAGAGACCCGGAGGAACACCAGUGGCGAAGGCGGCUUCCUGGUCUGCGACUGACGCUGUGGCGCGAAAGCUAGGGGAGCAAACGGG